rnacentral:rRNA from 1 species
GACGAACGCUGGCGGCGUGCUUAACACAUGCAAGUCGAACGGAAAGGCCCUGCUUUUGUGGGGUGCUCGAGUGGCGAACGGGUGAGUAACACGUGAGUAACCUGCCCUUGACUUUGGGAUAACUUCAGGAAACUGGGGCUAAUACCGGAUAGGAGCUCCUGCUGCAUGGUGGGGGUUGGAAGGUUUCGGCGGUUGGGGAUGGACUCGCGGCUUAUCAACUUGUUGGUGGGGUAGUGGCUUACCAAGGCUUUGACGGGUAGCCGGCCUGAGAGGGUGACCGGCCACAUUGGGACUGAGAUACGGCCCAGACUCCUACGGGAGGCAGCAGUGGGGAAUAUUGCACAAUGGGCGGAAGCCUGAUGCAGCAACGCCGCGUGCGGGAUGACGGCCUUCGGGUUGUAAACCGCUUUCGCCUGUGACGAAGCGUGAGUGACGGUAAUGGGUAAAGAAGCACCGGCUAACUACGUG